UACGUAGGGUGCAAGCGUUAAUCGGAAUUAUUGGGCGUAAAGAGCUCGUAGGCGGUUUGUCGCGUCUGCUGUGAAAACUCGGGGCUCAACUCCGAGCUUGCAUUCGAUACGGGCAGGCUAGAGUUCGGUAGGGGAGACUGGAAUUCCUGGUGUAGCGGUGAAAUGCGCAGAUAUCAGGAGGAACACCGGUGGCGAAGGCGGGUCUCUGGGCCGAUACUGACGCUGAGGAGCGAAAGCGUGGGGGAGCGAACAGG
rnacentral:rRNA from 1 species